rnacentral:rRNA from 1 species
GUUGUCCGGAAUUAUUGGGCGUAAAGAGCUCGUAGGCGGUCUGUCGCGUCGGCUGUGAAAACUCGGGGCUCAACUCCGAGCCUGCAGUCGAUACGGGCAGACUAGAGUGCGGUAGGGGAGACUGGAAUUCCUGGUGUAGCGGUGAAAUGCGCAGAUAUCAGGAGGAACACCGGUGGCGAAGGCGGGUCUCUGGGCCGUAACUGACGCUGAGGAGCGAAAGCGUGGGGAGCAAGCAGG